GACUGUCUAAUUAAAACAAAGCAUUGCGAUGGCCGCUGGUCGGUGUUGACGCAAUGUGAUUUCUGCCCAGUGCUCUGAAUGUCAACGUGAAGAGAUUCAUCAAAGCGCGGGUAAACGGCGGGAGUAACUAUGACUCUCGGGAUGGGAGUAUCUUGUGUGAUUGGCUGAGU
rnacentral:rRNA from 1 species